rnacentral:rRNA from 1 species
AUGGCCUUUCCGCCGAAACAGAUUCUCCCAUGUCUCUGCAGCAUCCUCCUCCUCCUAUCGAUCACGUUCUUCUCCCACGCGAAGGCGCAGCCGUGCAAAAGCCGUGAUUCCAAUCAGAAAGACAAAAUCACCUUGGAGUGCGUCGGCUCCGAAUUCUAUGUGAUCGACAAAGCAUCCGGGGUCGAACGCAACCUCUCCUACUCCGACGUGAACAACACCCGAGUGUUGUCCACCAUCGACCCCGACGGGCUGGACGUCGACGAUGAGUCGUUCAACGCCACCAUCUCAUAUCAGCCGCUGUGGAACCCGAGCCCGUCCAGCCGGGAUGGCCUCGCCUUCCUCAUCUUCCCUUGGACACUAAUAAACAGCUCCUUACCGAUCAAGCGACUGUUGGCAAGAGAUGUUGGCCCGCUCGACCUCGCCAACUCUACGUCCCUGAGUGCUGACGUCUCCGGCAGCCAAGUCUCUGUCAGGAUCGGUGUGCUGUCCAACCUUACGAUCACGGAGUACGACGAAGAUUAUUAUCACAUCAUAGUCGCCGAUAUCAGUAUCAUUCCGACAUUAGGUGCCGUCGCAAAGGACUGCACCGUGUGGAUCGACUACGACCAUGCGGGGCGCAGCCUGUCGUUCUACGCGGACGUUCAAGCCAAUCCCAAGCCUGACAGCCCCAUAGCUGAGGUUCCCCUGAAGCAUACCGGCGUAACCCCGAUCGCGCGCUUCGGCCUCCUCUCUACGGCGGAGCAGGUACCCAUCGCAAGGAAACUCGUCCUCAGUGCUUACGGAUCCGUGGUCCUCGUAGUCGUAUUCGUAGCUGCCACCAUCCUGAUGGCCAUCGGCCUGACGUGCUACUUCAACUCGAGGUACAGGGGGUGGCACAAGGACCUGGACCAGCUCGCCAGGUCCAUGGAGCGCCUCCCCGGGAUGCCCACCAAGGUGGAGUUCGCAGACAUCAAGAAGGCCACCGGCAACUCCCACGAAGCCAUGAAGCUCGGCGGUGGCGGGUUUGGAACCGUGUACAGGUGCACGCUCCCAGCCGCCGCUUCCAAGACGGAACGACCCAUGGACGUGGCCGUCAAGAGGUUCCCGCGCGACGUGGAGAACCGACGCUACGAAGAUUUCCUCGCCGAGGUCAGCAUCAUCAACCGGCUACGCCACAAGAACAUCGUCCCUCUCAUCGGUUGGUCUAACAAUAAAGGAGAGCCCCUACUUGUGUUCGAGUUCAUGACCAAUGGAAGUUUGGACCGACAUCUCUUCCCCAGAGGCGGCGGUCACACCGGGCAGCAACGGGAGCGAGGCACUGACGCGGCGGCCAUCCAGCAAUGGGCCACCCGGUACGAGAUCGUCAGAGACGUAGCCACCGGGCUGCACUACGUCCACCACGAGUACGAGCCUAUGGUCCUCCACUGCGACAUAAAGGCGAGCAACGUGAUGCUGUACUCGAGCUUUUCCGCCCGCCUCGGCGACUUUGGACUUGCCUGCACCGUCGCCGUCGAUAGGAACUCCGCCACCGUCUACGGUGGCACCCGGGGAUACAUCGCGCCGGAGUACGGUAUGUUCGGCAAGGCGACGCGGCAGACCGACAUCUACGCGCUCGGGGUGCUCAUCCUCGAGGUCGUCACGGGCCAGCAGGUGCUCAUUCAUCGGGCGGCGGAUGACGACGACGACGUCCAUAUCACCGACCGGGUGUGGCGCCUCCAUCGCGAGGGGAGGCUACUGGAGUGCGUCAAUCCCAUGUUGAUCUCUAGUUCUUCUCCGAACGAGGACAGCCUGCAGCUGCACGCUGGCGGUGACGCCGAACGCCUGCUGUUCCUGGGCUUGGCAUGCAGCAGCCCAAACCCAUUGGACCGGCCGACGAUGCCUGAGGUGGUGCAGGUCAUAGCCAAGUCGGCGCCGCCGCCCGAGGUGCCUCUCAUGAAACCAAGGUUCGUGUGGCCGCCGCCGGAAGGGGCGGCCUGGGACGGUGAUGAUAGCGGAGGCACGUCGAUGACAAGUAAGCUUGAGGGGAGUAUGGCGAGCUCGGUCGAACGUCAAUCGCAGUGGCUGACGGCGGCGGCGGGCUACCAGAGUACAUGCCUCGUUUCAGCUGGAGCCAUCAGUUUACGUCACCGUGCCAAGUGCUCUCGGCUCCGGCGAGAGGCCGAGCAGAGCAUAGCAUCCUCCGCAUAUCAUAUAUGGAAUGUGUUAGACUUAGACAUAGAAGUCGCCGGCACGGUGUCAUCUGCGCUUUGCAUCCGAUGUUGUGUUAUUGUACUCCAAUCUUGUAUUAGUUGUUUGUCGAGUCGGUCUGCUGGACUCUGCACGUGUAAAGGAAUCCAGCUUGGCUCGGAGGAUAGCUGCAUCGGCCACACGCACACGGAAUCUUGCCACCGAUUGUUGGAGAUGUACUCCCUCUAUAAAGGAGGGGGGAGAAAGUUCUCUCAUUGCUCAAGGGGGCCUCUCAGCCAUAGCCAAGUUUACAACAAAGUUCGGCCCAACAGUAAACCAGACUGCCAUACGUGGGGUACUAGGGCCGUACGCGGCCAGCUCAUGGCUAACAUUGUUCUGCCAGUGGCUACAAUGGGUGAACAAAAUCUCCCUGGCAUCUAG